CUGCAGGCGGGGUCCUGCGCCUCCGGGCCUGGGCUGCUGCCCGCGCGGUAACUGGAGUAGAAGGUGGCCUGAGAGCGAGUGGGGCCUUCCGUACAGCAAGUCACGCCAGCUUUCCCUUGGCUUACCCCAUGUAGGGGGUCCACGGCUUUCACGCAAAGGACAAACUCUUCCCUUUUGCUCUGGCAGUAACAAUAAUGUAUCUUGUCUUACUACGCAACAUCUUUGUAGCGGGUGCUCUAUGCAGCAAAUCCCCGUCUUUGCAAGUCACAUGAGCAACUCCUGAUAACGGCGAAGAUCUCUGACUUUGUGAUUUGUGAUCGUCAGGGUCUUCCCCAUAUGCACUGGGAUUCACAUACAGCAGAAAAGGACUUUUGGAAGCAGAGUAAAACCAUAAAGAUCAUCACAAGGGAGAUGCAGAACUUUUAUGCAGAGUAACAGGAAAAUUCCAAAGGAACUGGCUUUUCUUAGAAGAUAUGCCAAUACUCUAUCUAGGGGAUUUGAUCCCUAACUUUACAGAUGAGGAUACUGAUCUGCAGAAAUGAGCCACACAACUAAUUAAGAGAUGGAGCUGGGAUUAAAAUCCAGGUAGUCAAAGUUUGCUGUGAUGAGAUGAUUUGCAUGGAUAAUAAAACCAAGGGUGUUUGAGAGACAAAUGCAGGAAUAUAACCUAGCCUGCUUUAUGACACUCAACUUGAUGCGGUUUCCAGGUGUCUCUGUUGAUGUAAUGAAUUCCUAAAAACCCAUUAUCAGUUUGGGCCUCAAAUAUUCAGGUUCAACUUAAGCCCUCAGUCUGGGACAAAGGAAUAAAAUUGUGGAGAACCAGGAAUCAGAGUUUUUCAGAAGAGGAUGCCUAGUUGG